GAGUAACACGUAUCCAACCUGCCUCAUACUCGGGGAUAGCCUUUCGAAAGAAAGAUUAAUAUCCGAUAGCAUAUAUUCCCCGCAUGGGUUUUAUAUUAAAGAAAUUCGGUAUGAGAUGGGGAUGCGUUCCAUUAGUUUGUUGGGGGGGUAACGGCCCACCAAGACUACGAUGGAUAGGGGUUCUGAGAGGAAGGUCCCCCACAUUGGAACUGAGACACGGUCCAAACUCCUACGGGAGGCAGCAGUGAGGAAUAUUGGUCAAUGGACGCGAGUCUGAACCAGCCAAGUAGCGUGAAGGAUGACUGCCCUAUGGGUUGUAAACUUCUUUUAUAUGGGAAUAAAGUUGUCCACGUGUGGAUUUUUGUAUGUACCAUAUGAAUAAGGAUCGGCUAACUCCGUGCCAGCAGCCGCGGUAAUACGGAGGAUCCGAGCGUUAUCCGGAUUUAUUGGGUUUAAAGGGAGCGUAGGCGGAUUGUUAAGUCAGUUGUGAAAGUUUGCGGCUCAACCGUAAAAUUGCAGUUGAUACUGGCAGUCUUGAGUGCAGUAGAGGUGGGCGGAAUUCGUGGUGUAGCGGUGAAAUGCUUAGAUAUCACGAAGAACUCCGAUUGCGAAGGCAGCUCACUGGAGUGUAACUGACGCUGAUGCUCGAAAGUGUGGGUAUCAAACAGGAUUAGAUACCCUGGUAGUCCACACAGUAAACGAUGAAUACUCGCUGUUUGCGAUAUACAGUAAGCGGCCAAG
rnacentral:rRNA from 1 species